rnacentral:lncRNA from 1 species
GUUUCGCGCUAGUUUGAUGUUUUGUCUUGAGUGAGAGCGGUUAUGAGCGGUCUCUGUGCCCACAACUGGAUGAAGAUUCCUGAUGCAUCAGAUGGAUGUUCCUAUGCCCUGUGAAGAUGAAGAGGAGAUAGAGCAAUAUGUCUACAGUGUUACUGCAUUUACCUCUCAAUAUGGGAGUGAAGGGUUUAUUUCAUACACAAUGCAAAAUAUAAUUGGUCCGCCAUCACAUCCUCAAGAGCAUGGUGACUUUGCAAGCUCAGCUGCAUUGGCUACAUACGGCACGUGGUGGAGCCAGUGUCCGUCCGCUCGGCGACCAUUUAACUCCAACACACCACCGAACGUGCCUGGCCAGGACUUUGUGGAUCUGGAGUUCGCCGAGGCCGUAUACCCGCUGCAGCUGUCCGUGUUCGAGACGUACCACCCCGGCGGCCUACUGCGCGUGUGGGCGCGCUGGACGG